rnacentral:rRNA from 1 species
AUGAACGAGAACUGGAUCAGGGCGGUGGCUACGCUGCAGUCCAUUAAGCAGCUGGGUGAAUUCGUGGCUAUCUCGAAUCUCAUUAGUCAAAUCACCCUUCUACCGGACCAAGACGACACCAUCCACUGGAACUUAACCACCUCGGGGACAUACUCAGCCGCCUCUGCCUACGGCGCGCAGUUCCUUGGCUCCUACUCUCGUUUCGACACAACCAAGGUCUGGUCUGCAAACGCUGAGCCCAAGUGCAAGUUCUUCGCUUGGCUUGCUCUACACAGAAGAAUACUCACUACGGAUAUGCUGGCUGCGAGGGGUUGGCCUCAUGAUCCCAGAUGCCUGCUCUGUCUCCAACAGCCUGAAACAGCAACCCACCUCUGCAAAGACUGCCCCUUCACGGUCGCGGUCUGGAACCAGGUGAACACCUGGACUAACGAAGGCGUUCCUAUCUCGGGCUUCCUCCCCGAGCCAGGAAAUGUGUCUGACUGGUGGGACAAGACUCUCAUCUCACAGCCCAAUCAAGUGCGCAAGAGGCGCAGUGGAAGAAUCAUCUACACGAUAUGGUCCAUUUGGAAGGAGCGUAAUAGGCGGGUGUUCACGGGACUGAGGUCGACGCAUCGCGAGGUGGCGGCUCUGGCCCUAGACGCAAUCAAUCAGCGCGACUUGGCAUUUGCUGCACUCUACCAGCCGCAUGCAUUGGUUAACCUAGUUCUAGGUUUUGUCCUUCUAGUGGUUUCUGCGACGUUCCCUUUAAACGCUCGCCCCCCUGUAAAUUGCGUUCUUUCGCCAUCUCUUCUAUAA